UAAAGCAGCCUCUCCCACUUUCACUUCGCGCAGUUCCUUCACCUUACCCGACCUCGUUCUCCCCAACCUGGUUCUACGACCGGAGCUCGUUCUCCUACCCGACCUCGUCCUCCCCGACGUCGUUCUACGACCUGAGCUCGUUCUCCGACCCGAUCUCGUCCUUCAACGACCCGAGCCACCUUCAGCUCCUUCACCGACCCAGAACUGCCUCGAUCGACCACGACCACGAUCUCCUUCAGCGAGCUCCUCCGACCUCUUUGUACGACCUGAGCUCGUUCUCCGACCCGACCUCGUCCUUCAACGAUCCGAGCCACCUUCAGCUCCUUCAUCGACCCAGAACAGCCUCGAUCGACCACGACCACGAACUCCUUCAGCGAGCUCAUUCAAUGACCUGACCACGAACUCAUUCUCCCACCUGAGCUCGUCAUUGUCCGACUUGAGCCGGCUUGAGGUAGUUCUCCGAUCGCCACCAUCGUAGGUGGGUUUGCUUUGAAGAGAAAAAUUGCAGGACAGUGAUUGGAAGAAGAAUUCAGUGUUCAGCACAAGCACCACCUCCAGCUUGGCUAGGAAGUGCUUUUCCGGAGCCAGGCCAGAGGACUUGAGAUGGUCCAAAAGCCUAGUUCUGUUGUUGGAUCUACUGGUUCCAUUGGAACCCAGACAUUGGACAUUGUUGCAGAGAACCCGAAAAAAUUCAGAGUUGUGGCCCUAGUAGCUGGCUCAAAUGUGUAUCUUCUUGUUGAUCAGGUAAUCCAUCAG